GUGUCUUUAGCUUAAUGGUAGAGCGCUUGAUUGUGGCUCAAGAUGAUGUUGGUUCAACUCCAAUAAGACACCC
rnacentral:tRNA from 1 species